rnacentral:rRNA from 1 species
AGCGAACGCUGGCGGCAGGCCUAACACAUGCAAGUCGAACGCCCCGCAAGGGGAGUGGCAGACGGGUGAGUAACACGUGGGAACCUUCCCUAUACUACGGAAUAGCCCAGGGAAACUUGGAGUAAUACCGUAUACGCCCGAGAGGGGAAAGAUUUAUCGGUAUAGGAUGGGCCCGCGUAGGAUUAGCUAGUUGGUGAGGUAAUGGCUCACCAAGGCGACGAUCCUUAGCUGGUCUGAGAGGACGACCAGCCACACUGGGACUGAGACACGGCCCAGACUCCUACGGGAGGCAGCAGUGGGGAAUAUUGGACAAUGGGGGAAACCCUGAUGGAGCAACUCCGCGUGCAGGAUGAAGGCCUUCGGGUCGUAAACUGCUUUUAUGAGUGAAGAAUAUGACGGUAACUCAUGAAUAAGGGUCGGCUAACUACGUGCCAGCCGCCGCCGUAA